rnacentral:rRNA from 1 species
AUGUCGGCGGAGACGGAGAAGAGCGCCGCCGCGCCCGCGCCCGCGCCCAUGCGGUGCCAGCGAAUAGGCUGCGACGCCAUGUUCACCGACGACGACAACCCCGACGGCUCCUGCCACUACCACCCCUCCGGACCUAUGUUUCAUGAUGGCAUGAAAGAGUGGAGCUGUUGCAAGCAAAGAAGCCAUGAUUUUAGCUUAUUUUUAGCUAUUCCUGGAUGUGCCACAGGGAAGCAUACAACUGAGAAACCAGUCACAAAAGCUGUUUCUCUUAACUCAAAGGCAACCCCACCAAAGUUAGCUCCACUCCAGUCUUCUAAGCAGGGUGUGGAAACCGAGGCCUGCUCCAGGUGCCGUCAGGGUUUCUUUUGCUCCGACCAUGGAUCACAGCCCAAGGCACAAAAACCAGUUGCUGUAAAUGGUACAAAUACGGAACCUGUCGAGAAAUGCUCGGUUCCACAGCCCAAGAAAAAGGUUGUUAAUAUAAACGAGCCUAGGGUUUGUAAGAAUAAAGGAUGUGGUAAAACCUACAAGGAGAAGGAUAACCAUGAUGCUGCAUGCGAAUACCAUCCAGGCCCUGCGGUUUUCCAUGACAGGAAUAGAGGGUGGAAGUGUUGCGAUGUCCAUGUCAAGGAGUUUGACGAAUUUAUGGAGAUACCUCCAUGCACAAAGGGGUGGCACAAUGCUGAUGCCGUGUGA